GUUCCUUUCCUUUCCUUUCCUUUCUUUCCUUCUAUUUUUAUCUUUCCGUUCUUUAAAUGACUUUACCUCCUCUCCUCUCCGGUGAAUGGCGUCGGAUCUGACGUGGGUUCUAGGGUUCCUUCACUGCAACACCGAUGAGAUUUUGAGUUUUGAUUAUUGCAGGGGAGCUAAUUGGAGACUAAAUAGUCAGAAUUUCGAAUUGGGCUGGAGAUCGGCGGUGGGAGGUUUAUUUAGUAGUUGUUUAUCAGGUGGUAAUGGGAUUAGGAUUUCAUCAUGCUCAGCCAUGGCUGCGAUGGUGAUGAAGUUGGCCUUUUCCCAUCAUGAAAACUCAACUGGAGAUGGAUGGAUGCUUAGUGGAGUGACGUAGCAGUGUGAUUGACUUGAAAAGGAGUAUUUAAAGGGGAGCUUAGGCGCAAUGGUGAAGUUGUCGCUAUGUGACUGCACGGGGUGUGGAAACAACCUCUUACAAGAAUGUAAGAUAAGGUUCUAUAUUGUAAACUCAUUGUGGUUUGACCCUUCUCCGAACCCCACAUAUGCAGGAGUUUUGUGCACUGGUUGCCUUUUUUGUUGAAUAAAUGGUAUUAACUCAAAAGUAAAAGAAGAAGAAGAAGAAGAAGAAGAAGAAGAAGAAAUGUUUAUUCUCUUUUGUAUACUCCUAAGGAAAGCAUCCUGAAGAAAGAACUCCUUUCAUUUAGGCUAUGAGUGGGGGCAGACAAAACAUGACAACCAAUUCUUGAGCUGAAACUAGGGUUCAACUCUUUUUCUACCAAUUUCAGUCAUCAAAGACAUUGGAAGUAUGUUUAAGGCUUUUCUUUGGAGGUUGGAAUUUCUAUAGAUCACAAAUUCAAGUGGUCUCAUGAUUGCAAACCAAUUCAGGAAGGAGGUUUGGGUUUAAGACUUUUCUCUGAAUGGAACAAAACUACAUCCCAUAAUCUCUUUUGGUAUAUAUAUACUUGUUUUU